GAUUUUUUUAAAGAGAUAUGGUAGUUUAAAUAGGUUUGUUUAAAGAACUCUUGGGAAAUUUCUUAACAAAUUGUAAUUGUUUUUAUAAACCUUCCUACAGAGUUGUGUACCAUUCAUCAUCACCAUCAUUUAAUAUCUGUAAGUGCCCAGAAGGUACAAGGUGCUAUACAGCCGUUAAACACCCCCUCCCUGCAACUGUUUAAAAUUAGAAUAGAUUUUUGCAUCAACCACUGCUAGAAGCUUUCCCCACCUAGGUGGGCUGCAAGGGCCUGCAUUCCCAACAUCCCAUUACAUGUUUCCCACUCCAGAAAGUCUC
rnacentral:lncRNA from 1 species